rnacentral:rRNA from 1 species
AUGGCUGUCACACUUUGGUCGGUUUGGUCCGUGAGAAGAAAGGCAGUUUAUGAAUCUAUCUUCCAAAGUCCCCAACAAACUAUCUACUUUGUGGAGAAUUUUAUCGCAAAGCUGGGACAGAUUUCUAGCAGUCGAGUGCGCCAUGAAGCAAGAGCUGCUUCAACAAUCCCUCCAGAACGGUGGUUACCUCCACCCGCAGGUUGUGUGAAAAUAGAUGGUGAUGGAGCAGUCGCUAGAUCACGCCGUGGAGGAGCUGUGGCGACCCUGUGUAGAGACCAAUCAGGACUUUACUUGGGUUCUUCGGUUGUGGUCUUCCAAGGAAUUAAUGAUCCACUGAUUCUGGAAACGUAUGCUUAUCGAGAAGCUCUAGCUCUUGCGGAGGAUCUCGCCGUGCAAAAUAUUUUGGUGGCCUCAGACUGUCAAGAAGUGGUGAACAACAUCAACAAAGGGACAUGA